UACAGAGGUCUCGAGCGUUAGGCGGAAUCACUGGGCUUAAAGCGUGUGUAGGCGGAUCGUUAAGUACCUUGUGAAAUCCCACGGCUUAACCGUGGAACUGCUUGGUAUACUGGCGGUCUUGAGCCAGCUAGGGGCGACCGGAACAAAUGGUGGAGCGGUGAAAUGCGUAGAUAUCAUUUGGAACGCCAAUGGUGAAAACAGGUCGCUGGGGCUGUGCUGACGCAGAGACACGAAAGCGUGGGGAGCAAACAGG
rnacentral:rRNA from 1 species